rnacentral:lncRNA from 1 species
GCGAGCAUGCAUCUCCGCGUCUCGCAUGGAUGCUUGUCGUGCAACAAAUGCACGAAAAUCCGGCGGAGCACCGACAUGAGGUUGAGAUGCGGCGCUACUCGAAGCUUCGUCGGCGUCUUCUUCCCACUGCGUUGCUUGCUCGCCUUCGUCUUCGAUGAUCAUGUUGUGCAAAAUGAUGCACGUGAACAUGAUGUCGCUCAUCGCCUCCUUGCUCCAAAGACGCGCUGGGCCUUUGACGAUUGCCCAACGAGCUUGAAGGACGCCGAAGGCUCGUUCAAUAUCCUUGCGAGCCGCUUCCUGCAUCACUUUGAACCUCUUCCCCUUCGAAUCCGUCGGAUGUGUAGGACUCUUC